rnacentral:rRNA from 1 species
ACCGUUAUAACCGGCGAUUUCCGAAUGGGGAAACCCAGUGUGUUUCGACACACUAUCAUUAACUGAAUCCAUAGGUUAAUGAGGCGAACCGGGGGAACUGAAACAUCUAAGUACCCCGAGGAAAAGAAAUCAACCGAGAUUCCCCCAGUAGCGGCGAGCGAACGGGGAGGAGCCCAGAGCCUGAAUCAGUGUGUGUGUUAGUGGAAGCGUCUGGAAAGGCGUGCGAUACAGGGUGACAGCCCCGUACACAAAAAUGCACAUAUUGUGAGCUCGAUGAGUAGGGCGGGACACGUGGUAUCCUGUCUGAAUAUGGGGGGACCAUCCUCCAAGGCUAAAUACUCCUGACUGACCGAUAGUGAACCAGUACCGUGAGGGAAAGGCGAAAAGAACCCCGGCGAGGGGAGUGAAAAAGAACCUGAAACCGUGUACGUACAAGCAGUGGGAGCCUCUUAAUGGGGUGACUGCGUACCUUUUGUAUAAUGGGUCAGCGACUUAUAUUCUGUAGCAAGGUUAACCGAAUAGGGGAGCCGAAGGGAAACCGAGUCUUAACUGGGCGUUAAGUUGCAGGGUAUAGACCCGAAACCCGGUGAUCUAGCCAUGGGCAGGUUGAAGGUUGGGUAACACUAACUGGAGGACCGAACCGACUAAUGUUGAAAAAUUAGCGGAUGACUUGUGGCUGGGGGUGAAAGGCCAAUCAAACCGGGAGAUAGCUGGUUCUCCCCGAAAGCUAUUUAGGUAGCGCCUCGUGAAUUCAUCUCCGGGGGUAGAGCACUGUUUCGGCAAGGGGGUCAUCCCGACUUACCAACCCGAUGCAAACUGCGAAUACCGGAGAAUGUUAUCACGGGAGACACACGGCGGGUGCUAACGUCCGUCGUGAAGAGGGAAACAACCCAGACCGCCAGCUAAGGUCCCAAAGUCAUGGUUAAGUGGGAAACGAUGUGGGAAGGCCCAGACAGCCAGGAUGUUGGCUUAGAAGCAGCCAUCAUUUAAAGAAAGCGUAAUAGCUCACUGGUCGAGUCGGCCUGCGCGGAAGAUGUAACGGGGCUAAACCAUGCACCGAAGCUGCGGCAGCGACACUAUGUGUUGUUGGGUAGGGGAGCGUUCUGUAAGCCUGUGAAGGUGGCCUGUGAGGGUUGCUGGAGGUAUCAGAAGUGCGAAUGCUGACAUAAGUAACGAUAAAGCGGGUGAAAAGCCCGCUCGCCGGAAGACCAAGGGUUCCUGUCCAACGUUAAUCGGGGCAGGGUGAGUCGACCCCUAAGGCGAGGCCGAAAGGCGUAGUCGAUGGGAAACAGGUUAAUAUUCCUGUACUUGGUGUUACUGCGAAGGGGGGACGGAGAAGGCUAUGUUGGCCGGGCGACGGUUGUCCCGGUUUAAGCGUGUAGGCUGGUUUUCCAGGCAAAUCCGGAAAACCAAGGCUGAGGCGUGAUGACGAGGCACUACGGUGCUGAAGYGACAAAUGCCCUGCUUCCAGGAAAAGCCUCUAAGCAUCAGGUAACAUCAAAUCGUACCCMAAACCGACACAGGUGGUCAGGUAGAGAAUACCAAGGCGCUUGAGAGAACUCGGGUGAAGGAACUAGGCAAAAUGGUGCCGUAACUUCGGGAGAAGGCACGCUGAUAUGUAGGUGAAGCGACUUGCUCGUGGAGCUGAAAUCAGUCGAAGAUACCAGCUGGCUGCAACUGUUUAUUAAAAACACAGCACUGUGCAAACACGAAAGUGGACGUAUACGGUGUGACGCCUGCCCGGUGCCGGAAGGUUAAUUGAUGGGGUUAGCGGUAACGCGAAGCUCUUGAUCGAAGCCCCGGUAAACGGCGGCCGUAACUAUAACGGUCCUAAGGUAGCGAAAUUCCUUGUCGGGUAAGUUCCGACCUGCACGAAUGGCGUAAUGAUGGCCAGGCUGUCUCCACCCGAGACUCAGUGAAAUUGAACUCGCUGUGAAGAUGCAGUGUACCCGCGGCAAGACGGAAAGACCCCGUGAACCUUUACUAUAGCUUGACACUGAACAUUGAGCCUUGAUGUGUAGGAUAGGUGGGAGGCUUUGAAGUGUGGACGCCAGUCUGCAUGGAGCCGACCUUGAAAUACCACCCUUUAAUGUUUGAUGUUCUAACGUUGGCCCGUAAUCCGGGUUGCGGACAGUGUCUGGUGGGUAGUUUGACUGGGGCGGUCUCCUCCUAAAGAGUAACGGAGGAGCACGAAGGUUGGCUAAUCCUGGUCGGACAUCAGGAGGUUAGUGCAAUGGCAUAAGCCAGCUUGACUGCGAGCGUGACGGCGCGAGCAGGUGCGAAAGCAGGUCAUAGUGAUCCGGUGGUUCUGAAUGGAAGGGCCAUCGCUCAACGGAUAAAAGGUACUCCGGGGAUAACAGGCUGAUACCGCCCAAGAGUUCAUAUCGACGGCGGUGUUUGGCACCUCGAUGUCGGCUCAUCACAUCCUGGGGCUGAAGUAGGUCCCAAGGGUAUGGCUGUUCGCCAUUUAAAGUGGUACGCGAGCUGGGUUUAGAACGUCGUGAGACAGUUCGGUCCCUAUCUGCCGUGGGCGCUGGAGAACUGAGGGGGGCUGCUCCUAGUACGAGAGGACCGGAGUGGACGCAUCACUGGUGUUCGGGUUGUCAUGCCAAUGGCACUGCCCGGUAGCUAAAUGCGGAAGAGAUAAGUGCUGAAAGCAUCUAAGCACGAAACUUGCCCCGAGAUGAGUUCUCCCUGACUCCUUGAGRGUCCUGAAGGAACGUUGAAGACGACGACGUUGAUAGGCCGGGUGUGUAAGCGCAGCGAUGCGUUGAGCUAACCGGUACUAAUGAACCGUGAGGCUUAACCUU